GUUUACUCUAAAGGCAUAUGGAAAAGGAACUGGGGAAUAACAAUAGAAGACACCUCAGCUCAAGAGGAAAGGUUUUGCUGGCAUUUCUAUGAUGUUGCCCUUGGAGAAUGAAGGAUCAAUGACUGGGCAGACAAUGGAUCCUUCUCCUCCUUUCCUCAUGCAAGAUGUGAUAAUUGAGAUGAGAGGUACUAUGUUCUGGAGCACACAUAGAAACCCACUCACCGUCCAGCAAUACAAAGCAGGGUCCCCAGUCAGUUGGCCAGUAAUCACAACUCUGGCCCUACUGCUGCCACACUGGAUUCCUGGAAAAACUUGCAACAAUAAAACAGAAUCCUCAAAUAUAAGCCAACCCCUUCAUGUGCUCUGAAGAAGGUGAAAAGUAGAACUGGUCAGGAAUUUUUCAUUAUUGGGUAAGGGAGGGAGGUGUGAGGGAUGAGGCUUGGGGGGAGAGAGAGAGAGACAGACAGAAGACAAACAGACAGACAGACACACAAAGUCUGUCUCUCUCUCUCUAUCUACCUCCCUCUACCCUUAUCCUAGAAUAAUCCUUUUCUUCGUGGUUUGGGCACUUGCCUAGAAUAUGGAAAAGACAGGUUCAAGUCUCUGCCCUACUUUGAGCUGGAGUGGAUUUUUUUAAUCCCCCAAAUAGUUUUGAAAGGUCUGUUUUAUCUCAAUGAGGAUUGGGGGAAAAAAUUGAAAUCUAAAAGAUGUUCAUGAAAUGGGAAAAUCAUUUCCCACUCAGCUCUAGUGAAACUACAUCGUGCCAGUUUUGCAAUGAGGAAAAGUCUGUCUUAGCUCUGAAAAGGGAAACAGCAGAGCCCAGAACAUGAAGUACAGAAGACUUUUAGGACUCAUCUGCAUGGGAAGAAAACUUGACAUAUCUUGCGUGGAAGAGCUGCUGUGUUUUAAAAUCACACACUAGCUAUUUUGCACCAAUGUCUUUGUGAAUUAUAUAUCUACACAAGCCCUAACUUGCAUGGAAGGAAGGGAGGGUUAGUGGGUGACUAAAGUGGGAGCUGACUGGACAUUCUAUAUAUGGUUGGAAACUUUAAAUGAUACCCUCCAUCCCCUAAUGGGCAGGGAACUUGGCCAAUUGAAACUCUUGUGGCAUUGGUUGAUCUACUUGUGGAAGAGGCAAAGCAAACCUGGCCCAAGCCAAAACCCCACCUAUGCCACAGAAGGUUCUGGGGGCAGUGAAGGGGGCAACACUCACUCCAAUUUCAGCCAGGACCCUUGGGGUGCCCUUUUCCUACUAAUCUUAUCAAACCACCUCGGCACACACUCCUCUCUCCCCCAGGCAAGUGUCGGAUUGCAGGGCUGCAUUCACUCUCUGUGAACUCAGAUUCAGAAUUGCUGAUAUAUUUUAC
rnacentral:lncRNA from 1 species